CCUACGGGUGGCUGCAGUGGGGAAUUUUGGACAAUGGGCGAAAGCCUGAUCCAGCCAUUCCGCGUGAGUGAAGAAGGCCUUCGGGUUGUAAAGCUCUUUCGGCAGGAACGAAACGGUGUGGGCUAAUAUCCUGCAUCAAUGACGGUACCUGAAGAAGAAGCACCGGCUAACUACGUGCCAGCAGCCGCGGUAAUACGUAGGGUGCGAGCGUUAAUCGGAAUUACUGGGCGUAAAGCGUGCGCAGGCGGUUGUUUAAGACAGAUGUGAAAUCCCCG
rnacentral:rRNA from 1 species